UACAGAGGGUGCGAGCGUUGUUCGGAAUUAUUGGGCGUAAAGAGCGUGUAGGCGGCCAGGUAGGUCAGCUGUGAAAACUCGAGGCUCAACCUCGAGACGCCGGUUGAAACCAUCUGGCUAGAGUCCGGAAGAGGAGAGUGGAAUUCCUGGUGUAGCGGUGAAAUGCGCAGAUAUCAGGAAGAACACCCGUGGCUAAGGCGGCUCUCUAGUACGGUACUGACGCUGAGACGCGAAAGCGUGGGGAGCGAACAGG
rnacentral:rRNA from 1 species